GACGAACCGUGCGAACGUUGUUCGGAAUCACUGGGCUUAAAGGGCGCGUAGGCGGGUUCGCAAGUCUGUGGUGAAAGCCUCCAGCUUAACUGGAGAAGUGCCAUGGAUACUGCGCAUCUUGAGGAGGGUAGGGGCGUCUGGAACGGUCGGUGGAGCGGUGAAAUGCGUUGAUAUCGACCGGAACUCCGGUGGCGAAGGCGAGGCGCUGGACCCUUUCUGACGCUGAGGCGCGAAAGCCAGGGGAGCAAACGGGG
rnacentral:rRNA from 1 species